AUCUCUUUUAUCGCUAAACCUAACCUCUCCCGUUCAUUUCUGGAUUCAUUCAUCGAAAAUGUGGGACAGCCUGGUGAGUUGGGAGAUCGGUUGGUGCAGUUAUUGCAGAAGAUCGCAUCAUCGUUGCACCGCACACAAAGCGACCGCAAAACGGAUUCUUCAUUUUUAUCGUUGACGAGAAGAGGCUGCUUGAGAAUGGCAGAAGAACCAAAUACGCUGACAUUGUGUCGAAAAUCAGCGGCAACGGGCGCUCGAAGCUGGUGUUCAUCUGGCAGCGGACGAAGCCGAGCGUGCUGAAGGAUGUGCGUCACGUGUUCGAGGAGCUGUGGGCGCUGCAGAUCAUCGACGCGAUCGCCGUAGUGCUGGGCCGCUACCGGGCCAUCCGUAUCUACACGUAUCACCCGUUCACGCCGAACCACUGCUUCGAGGCUGGAUCUCCGGUGCUCAUCAACGACUGGGACCCCAGGAGAGGACGACUCACCCAUCGCACACCGUCCCUCUUCUCGCAGAAGAGCAAGGUUUGCACUCCACAAACUUGUAAUAGGGUAGGGAGCAAUAUUAAAAGGAGGGUAUGUACCCUCCG
rnacentral:lncRNA from 1 species